rnacentral:lncRNA from 1 species
AGAAAAGGUAAUUCAUUACCUAUAGAGAACUGUAAAGGCUGACUGUACAUGUAGUAUUUACAGUAAUAUAUGUAUUAAAGCCACACGAGUAAACUGAAACGGUACCAUAGCACAUCUAAAGUAAUGACAUCAUAAGAACUGCUGAUUAUUAACUUUUAAGUUCAGACUAAUUUUGAAGGCAUUCAUAGAUGUGAGCUGUGUAUCAUUAUGAAAAAUCGUAUGAAGCAAAGUUGAGCUGUUUGAUUUCUAUGCUGUUGUGUCAAAUUUAUGUCAAUUUUGCAGUUUGUACAUUAAAAGUCGAGAAGAUCGAGCUUCAUUCGUUGAAUUUGGAUGACAGAAAAAUGCGCAGUUAUAACUCUUGAUGAAAAAAACACAACAAUAUUUGCACCAAAAGUUUGGAAUAAACAAAAUGAUGUACGUGAAACCGUUCGUAAAAUUUGAAACAAAUAGUUUCCAAAAUGUCGAAGAGAUAUAUUACAUUUAUUUCAUGUGCCCGAGUCUAGAUGAAAUUUUGCAGAACUAGCUAUAAAUUAGCCAUUUGUGUGCCUUGAUUACAAGUGCGAUAUAUUACGAUUAUCUAAUUUGACAUUUUUGCGUAAUGCGAGGCAGAAGAUGUAUGCUGAUUGUUGCACCUGGAAAAGAAUUUGUUCAUUCGCAUCUAUCUAUAGUGAGUAUGAUGGCUUAGAGUGAUACAUGUCGCUGAAACUGAUCACGCAAGGAUGGUAGGGACUCAAAGUUUAUUUGGGUGUUUGGAUUUGCAUCAUCUUGAGCUUCUUUUAAGGUUUAGUACCAUAUUGAAGGUGUACAUUGAAUUUUUUUUAAAAUACAUUGGGAUUGAAAUUAGGACAAUUACAGCAAUAACAAAAAAUAAAAAUACAUUUUCUAUUAAACUUAUUAAACACAUGUCGAGUGAAAUCAUUUUAUUUCUUCCUAACUAUUGACUUUAAACGGUUGAAAAACAGUAAAAUGUACAUAAUAUUGCUAAUGCAUAUGUAAUUGUAUAGGCUUUUUCUGAUCCCACUUUCAGUGGCAGCAUACGUUGAAAAUGUUGUUGAUAGAGCUUUGUUUUCGGAAACUGAAAAAGUUUCCUUUCUUUCUUCGUUCCACGUUUUUAAUGCAUAUUGAAUAGAUAUUAAAAACAA